rnacentral:rRNA from 1 species
CGGCGUGCCUAACACAUGCAAGUCGUACGAGAAAGCCGGCUUCGGCUGGUGAGUAAAGUGGCGCACGGGUGAGUAACGCGUGGAUAAUCUGCCCUUAAGUGUGGAAUAACGUACCGAAAGGUGCGCUAAUACCGCAUAAUGCCUGGCAACACAAGUUGUCCGGCCAAAGAAGGCCUCUGUUUACUAAGCUUUCGCUUCAGGAUGAGUCCGCGUACCAUUAGCUUGUUGGUGGGGUAAUGGCCUACCAAGGCUGCGAUGGUUAGCUGGUCUGAGAGGAUGAUCAGCCACACUGGAACUGAGACACGGUCCAGACUCCUACGGGAGGCAGCAGUGAGGAAUAUUGCGCAAUGGGGGCAACCCUGACGCAGCAACGCCGCGUGAGUGAGGAAGGUUUUCGGACUGUAAAGCUCUGUCGAGCGGGAAGAAGUGUACCAUGGCUAAUAUCCAUGAUAUUUGACGGUACCGCUAGAGGAAGCACCGGCUAACUCCGUG